GGAGGGAUCUACUACGAGUCCUCCACCGGCCCCGCCAGCCUCCUUCGACCCGCGUCGGGUCUGGAAGCGCCUUAACUCCCUCGGCGCUGGACUGUCUCUCCGGGCCGGGCCUCUGCCAAAGGAGGCAGAAAACGAAAUCCAGAAGUUGCCCAAGAGCACACAGCUGCUAUGCAGUGGCACAGCCCAGGUCCUUCUGACCACCUCCAGUGGCAACAAAUGACUUCUGCAAAUUACAUCUGCCUGCCCACAGGUCUCUGCCACAGCAUUUCAGUCCCACCCAUUGUUUAGACAACUUGCCUGAGCAUGGACAGGAUGCCCAAUCUCUCGCUUGUCAGCCUCCAACCCUGGGACAACUCAAGGGCUUCAUUUCCCUGUCUCUGUCACUCAGAGGAGAGAAGCUCAGACAAUUCUACAGUCACUUCCUGAGUGGCACUAGGAUGAAUUCCAGCAUCUGCCUUCCUGGACCCAGUACCACAUCCCUCUUCCUCUCCAGUGACAACUUUUCACCAAAGAGUCUCGGGGGGUUCACUAUACCCAUGACUCCUGAAGACAGCCAUGCUCAGUGAUUCCAAGGUGAUUCCCUGUUCUGCCCUGCGAUGGCCGUGGCUGACAACUUCUUCUUAAAGAGGACUAAAGCAUCCUUUGUCAUCCCUAGUGGGACAUCUCCCCUGGUUAAGAAAGCAUCUUGUUAUGUAAGAAGCCCAAGAGGGGGAGAGCAGAGGACUCAGUGAUGCUUCACAGAUUUCUCACUGGGGGGUCAACUUAGAGACUGACUCAAAGCUGGCAGGAAUAAGAAUAAAUUAAUGGCUUCUGUGGGGAGUGAGUAAGGCUGGUUUGAAGUCUGGUGGGAGCAGUGAACUACAUCGAUGAAUAAGACAGACAGGAAAUAUUCUUAAAUGGAGGAAGAAUGUGGGAAACAUUUGGAUGAGAAAACUGAGACAAAAUGAAGAAAUGCAGAGAGCUUUAUAGUCCAUUCUGGAGGUUUGGGGAGUUAAUAAUAACACACAUUACCCACCCAGCCCUCUUCUAAGCUCUUUUGUUAUAUUACUUUAUUGAAUCUACACAACAAGUCUUCGAGGUAGAGCAUUAUCUUCACUUUGCAUACAAGGAAAGCUGAGAUGCAAAACUAUGGAGUAACUUAGCCAAGGCUACACAACUAUACGCUAUACAACUAAGUGGUCAAGAAAGCUGGAAUUUGAGGGGUGCCUGGGUGGCUCAGUUGGUUAAGUGUCCUACUUUCACUCAGGUCAUGGUCUCACAGUUCGUGGGUUC